UAGAAAAUAUCAAGAAGAGUGUAGAUACACAACUUUAUUUCUGUUUCUGUAUGAUUAUUACAAGGUCAUUUGGGUUAAGAAUAUCAUGGUGUUCAGUCAUGGAAACGGGUCAGCUAGGGUCUACAGUACAGGUAAAUAUAGUAGGCCUAGUCAUUAAAGCUAUUGUUAUGUUGUUGCCCCCGUUCUUGCAGAAGUUCUGCAGAGUCUUGUGGAAGGAGAGCAUAGCAAGUGCAACCAUCAGUCCCAACUGCAGCAAAAACGGAAGUGUCAAGGUGCUUGCCCCCGAUGCCUACAGAGAAGAGAGAGAGAGAGAGAGAGAGAGAGAGAGAGAGAGAGAGAGAGAGAUAAAGAGAGAGAGAGAGAUAAAGAGAGAGAGAGAGAUAAAGAGAGAGAUAAAGAGAGAGAUAAAGAGAGAGAAGGAACUGAAUUUCCACACUCUUAUAAAAGGGACUAUCUAGAGCCAUAAAGGGUUCUUCUGCUGUCCCUGUAUGAGAACCCUUUUUGGCUCCAUGUAGAACCGAUGUAGAACCGAUGUAGAACCCAACUUACCCAACAAACCAUGGUAUAACCUUAUAAUAACCCUUUGGUGAUAAGACCCAACCUGGAACCAAACAGGGUUCUCUGGGACAGCCAAAGAACCCUUUAUGGGUCGUUCUUGAACUGCAGUGGCAUUCACAUCCACGAAAAAAACACUUCAAAAUGACAAAUAGUUACACAUUAUUCAAGUUUUCUGUUUAAAAGACUGUUUAUCAGUCAUAAAACAUACUGCAAGUGCUUUAUAAUGCAAAACGUUAUGUUUAUGCAUUGUUUAAAGUACAGUUAUAGUGACAUAUUUUGUGUCACGUCCUGACCAGCAGAUGGAGCUGGUGUAGUAGUUUGGGGGUCAGGACGUGGCAGUCUUGUGUGUGUCUUGUGACUCCUGAUCAGGAACAGCUGGGAAUCGUUGUUCCUGAUUGGGAGUCAUAUAUGUAGGAGUUGUUUGUCACUGGGGUUUGUGGGUGGUUGUUUUGCACUGCGUUUUUUUUUUUUUUUUAGCCUGCAAACUGUUACUGCUGUCACGUUUAUUGUUUCCUGUGGAUGCUUUACUCCUUUUGUUGGGUAAUUAAAAAAUGAGUAUUCACAUACCUGCUGCGCCUUGGUUCAUUUCAGAAGACAGUCGUUACAUAUUGGGGGAUUUAAAGCUAUCAAUAUAUGUAUUAUUUUUGAAUUCUAGAAAGAAAACAAAAGCAUUACAUACAGUUGAAGUCAGAAGUUUACAUACACUUAGGUUGGAGUCAUUAAAACCCGUUUUUCAACCACUCCACAAAUUUCUUGUUAACAAACUAUAGUUUUGGCAAGUUGGUUAGGACAUCUACUUUGUGAAUGACACAAGUCAUUUUUCCAACAAUUGUUCACAGACAGAUUAUUUCACUUAUAAUUCAGUGUAUCACAAUUCCAGUGGGUCAUAAGUUUACAUACACUAAGUAGACUGUGCCUUUAAAUAGCUUGGAAAAUUGCAGAAAAUGAUGUCAUGGCUUUAGAAGCUUCUGAUAGGCUAAUUGACAUCAUUUGAGUCAAUUGGAGGUGCACCUGUGGAUGUAUUUCAAGGCCUACCUUCAAACUCAGUGCCUCAUUGCUUGACAUCAUGGGAAAAUCAAAAGAAAUCAGCCAAGACCUCAGAAAACAAAUUGUAGACCACAAGUCUGGUUAAUCCUUGGGAUUAAUUUCCAAAUGCCUGAAGGUACCACGUUCAUCUGUACAAACAAUAGUACGCAAGUAUAAACACCAUGGGACCACGCAGCCGUCAUCAAGAAGGAGACGCGUUCUGUCUCCUAGAGAUGAACGUACUUUGGUGCGAAAAGUGCAAGUCAAUCCCAGAACAACAGCAAAGGUGCUGGAGGAAACAGGUACAAAAGUAUCUAUCUCCACAGUAAAACAAGUCCUAUAUUGACAUACCUGAAAGGCUGCUCAGCAAGGAAGAAGUCAUUGCUCCAAAACCGCAAUAAAAAAGACUACGGUUUGAAACUGCACAUGGGGACAUAGAUCGUACUUUUUGGAGAAAUGUCCUCUGGUCUGAUGAAACAAAAAUAGAAUUGUUUGGCCAUAAUGACCAUCGUUAUGUUUGGAGGAAAAAGGGGGAGGCUUGCAAGCCGAAGAACACCAUCCCAACCGUGAAGCACGGUGGUGGCAGCAUCAUGUUGUGGGGGUGCUUUGCUGCAGAAGGGACUGGUGCACUUCACAAAAUAGAUGGCAUCAUGAGGGAGGGAAAAUUAUGUGGAUAUAUUGAAGCAACAUCUCAAGACAUCAGUCAGGAAGUUAAAGCUUGGUCGCAAAUAGUUCUUCCAAAUGAACAACGACCCCAAGCAUACUUCCUAACUUGUGGCAAAAUGGCUUAAGGACAACAAAGUCAAGGUAUUGGAGUGGCCAUCACAAAGUCCUGACCUCAAUCCCAUAGAAAAAUUGUGAGCAGAACUGAAAAAGCAUGUGCGAGCAAUGAGGCCUACAAACCUGACUCAGUUACACCAGCUCUGUCAGGAGGAAUGGGCCAAAAUUAACCCAACUUAUUGUGGGAAGCUUGUGGAAGGCUACCUGAAAUGUUUGACCCAGGUUAAACAAUUUAAAGGCAAUGCUACCAAAUACUAAUUGAGUGUAUGUAAACUUCUGACCCACUGGGAAUGUGAUGAAAGAAAUAAAAGCUGAAAUAAAUCAUUCUCUCUACUAUUAUUCUGACAUUUCACAUUCUUAAAAUAAAGUGGUGAUCCUAACCUAAGACAGGGAAUUUUUACUAGGAUUAAAUGUCAGGAAUUGUGAAAAACUGAGUUUAAAUGUAUUUGGCUGAGGUGUAUGUAAACUUCCCGCCUUCAACUGUAUAUUGUACUUAUCAAUAAAAACAAGACAGGCUAUUAAAAUUACUAUUAUUUUAACAAAUAUAAUACGUGUCCCUAAGUUUUAUCCCCAUUGGUGUAACCACCUUGAAAAUCACUCAUUACAAAGAUUUACAAGUACCUUGCAUUGACCUCCAGUGGAAAAGUUUUGCACUGGAGGGAUCUAUAUUAAAUACAAUUAUUAGCUAAUCACACCCUUUUAGCAACUCAUCAAUUUGAGGAUUCCAUUGAUCAUUUGGUGUGUCUAAAUAGUGUAAUUGGUGUUACAAAUGUUAAAUGAAGGGAAAUUACACUGUGAGCUAAAUUAUGAAUCAUAAACACUUUGGUCAAUUAUUUUUAAAGGUUUAAUGACCUUAGAUUCGAAUGUCCUCAAUUACCAAAAUGUUGUCAUUGGAGUUACCAUCACUGGUGUAACUACUUCUGCUGGUGGCACGAUGUUAUCAUAAUAGUAAAACAUUAUUAAAAGUCAUUAAGCUACCAUAUUAGUUCAUUUACAAUGGGAAGAUAUACCCAAUACAUUUUAUUAAAAAGAAUAGAGAAAAAUUAAGUUCAUUUUUUUCUCCAAAAUGCCACACCCAAAUACCGCCGCAAUUCAAGAACAACCCUUAUGGUAGGUAGGCCUAUAGACACUUUCUUAGUUUACAAUUCCCCUCUCCAUCUUCAAUUCACUGAUUAGCUCAAUCAAUUUGUAAAAAUAUGAGAAUACCUUGUUUGGGGCGUUCGUUGCAUUCACCU
rnacentral:lncRNA from 1 species